rnacentral:rRNA from 1 species
CGCUGCGGCAGGCCUAAUACAUGCAAGUCGAGGGGCAGCACGGGUAGCAAUACCUGGUGGCGACCGGCGCACGGGUGCGUAACGCGUAUGCAACCUACCUUUAACAGGGGGAUAGCUCCGAGAAAUCGGGAUUAAUACCCCAUAGUAUUAUUUUGUGGCAUCACAUGAUGAUUAAAGUUCCGACGGUUAAAGAUGGGCAUGCGUGCCAUUAGCUAGUUGGUGAGGUAACGGCUCACCAAGGCAACGAUGGCUAGGGGUUCUGAGAGGAUUAUCCCCCACACUGGUACUGAGACACGGACCAGACUCCUACGGGAGGCAGCAGUAAGGAAUAUUGGGCAAUGGACGCAAGUCUGACCCAGCCAUGCCGCGUGCAGGAAGACAGCCUUAUGGGUUGUAAACUGCUUUUGUCAGGGAAUAAACCCCCGGUCGCGCACCGGGGCUGAAGGUACCUGAAGAAUAAGCACCGGCUAACUCCGUGCCAGCAGCCGCGGUAAUACGGAGGGUGCAAGCGUUAUCCGGAUUUAUUGGGUUUAAAGGGUGCGCAGGCGGGUUUGUAAGUCAGCGGUGAAAUCCCACGGCUCAACCGUGGAACUGCCAUUGAUACUGCAGGCCUUGAGUGUAUUUGAAGUGGGCGGAAUGUAGCAUGUAGCGGUGAAAUGCAUAGAUAUGCUACAGAACACCAAUUGCGAAGGCAGCUCACUAAACUACAACUGACGCUCAUGCACGAAAGCGUGGGGAUCAAACAGGAUUAGAUACC